rnacentral:rRNA from 1 species
GGUUCAGGACGAACGCUGGCGGCGUGCUUAACACAUGCAAGUCGAACGAUGAAGCCGCUUCGGUGGUGGAUUAGUGGCGAACGGGUGAGUAACACGUGGGCAAUCUGCCCUUCACUCUGGGACAAGCCCUGGAAACGGGGUCUAAUACCGGAUACGACCACCGACCGCAUGGUCUGGUGGUGGAAAGCUCCGGCGGUGAAGGAUGAGCCCGCGGCCUAUCAGCUUGUUGGUGGGGUAAUGGCCUACCAAGGCGACGACGGGUAGCCGGCCUGAGAGGGCGACCGGCCACACUGGGACUGAGACACGGCCCAGACUCCUACGGGAGGCAGCAGUGGGGAAUAUUGCACAAUGGGCGAAAGCCUGAUGCAGCGACGCCGCGUGAGGGAUGACGGCCUUCGGGUUGUAAACCUCUUUCAGCAGGGAAGAAGCGAGAGUGACGGUACCUGCAGAAGAAGCGCCGGCUAACUACGUGCCAGCAGCCGCGGUAAUACGUAGGGCGCAAGCGUUGUCCGGAAUUAUUGGGCGUAAAGAGCUCGUAGGCGGCUUGUCACGUCGGAUGUGAAAGCCCGGGGCUUAACCCCGGGUCUGCAUUCGAUACGGGCAGGCUAGAGUUCGGUAGGGGAGAUCGGAAUUCCUGGUGUAGCGGUGAAAUGCGCAGAUAUCAGGAGGAACACCGGUGGCGAAGGCGGAUCUCUGGGCCGAUACUGACGCUGAGGAGCGAAA